rnacentral:rRNA from 1 species
CCUACGGGAGGCAGCAGUGGGGAAUAUUGGACAAUGGGCGGAAGCCUGAUCCAGCAACGCCGCGUGAGGGAUGACGGCCUUCGGGUUGUAAACCUCUUUCGCCUGCGACGCGGUAGCAGGUAAAGAAGCACCGGCCAACUACGUGCCAGCAGCCGCGGUAAUACGUAGGGUGCGAGCGUUGUCCGGAAUUAUUGGGCGUAAAGGGCUCGUAGGCGGUUUGUCGCGUCGGGAGUGAAAACCAUGAGCUUAACUCAUGGCUUGCUUUCGAUACGGGCAGACUAGAGGUAUGCAGGGGAGAACGGAAUUCCUGGUGUAGCGGUGAAAUGCGCAGAUAUCAGGAGGAACACCGGUGGCGAAGGCGGUUCUCUGGGCAUUCCUGACGCUGAGGAGCGAAAGUGUGGGGAGCGAACAGGAUUAGAUACCCUUGUAGUC